rnacentral:snRNA from 1 species
AGUCUCUUUCAGGAACGAAAGAU